CUUGUAAAAAAAAAAUCAAUUGACCGUAAAUGUGUGUGUAUAUGGGAGAAAAGCACUUAUUUCUGGAAUCUCCAUUUUGUUCCAUCAAUUAAAUUCUAUUCCCAAGUCAGCACCACAUUGUCUUGAUUACUGUAGCUUUAUAUUAAGUCUCUAAAUCCAGUAGCAUGUUCUCCAACUUUUUGCUUUAAAAAAAAAUGGUUUUAGCUAUUCUAAGUACUUUGCAUUUCCAUAUAAACUUUAGAACCAUCUUAUCCAUUUUUAUAAAAAGGAUAGCUGAAUUUGGAUUGGAAUUGUGAUGGAUCUAUAUAUCAAUUUAA
rnacentral:lncRNA from 1 species